CGCUUUAUCAAGGGCCAAUUUAGCAAAAAUCUAAAAUGUAUAUGAAGCCGUGGAAGAGGGUUUAACUCUGCAACAUAAUCAGUGCACAGAAACCUAAAUUGGAAAUCUCUUUCACUACAGACAAGACAGUUCAGAAGUGAAAAGUCACAGUAAAAUUGGGCAUUUCUUUCCAUAGACUUAACAGAAGCAACACCUGGAUUCCAGCAGCUGUACUGGUGUAACUGGCACUUGAACGUCUCCAUCCAAGUGCCCCUUUGUGGCAGAUGAAGAGUUCAGGUUUUGUUCCUCAUCAGCUUUGUGACCUUGGGCAAAGUCCUUGACCUAUCAGAGCCUCAAUUUCCCUAUCUGUGGAAAGACGACCAUGAAAAAAUAUGCACUAUGGGGUGGUUCUGGUGGGGAGAGUUAAAUUAGAUAUAAUUUAGAAAUUCUUAGCAUAAUAUUUGUAUCAUAUAUAUGUUUAUAUAUGUUAAUAUGUAACACAUAAUAGUAUAUAAGAAAGUCAUCUAUAUGAACUUCACACAGCAUAUUAUAUUAUAUAUACACACUACAUGGUGUAUAUGACAUAUACUAUCUAAUAUAUGAUAUGGUUUGGCUGUGUCCCCACCCAAAUCUUAUCUUGAAUUGUAAAUCCCACAAUUCCCACAUGUUGUGGGAGGAACCUAGUGGGAGAUAAUUGAAUCAUGGGAGUGGGUCUUUCCUGUGCUGUUUUUGUGAUAGUGAAUAAGUCUCAUGAGAUCUGAUGGUUAUAUACACGGGAAUUUCCCUGUACAAGCUCUCUUCUCUUGUCUGCUGCCAUGUGAGACAUGCCUUUCAUCUUCUGCCAUGCUUGUGAGGCCUUCCCAGCCACAGUUCCACGUGGCUGGGGAGUAAUAAACCUCUUUCUUUUGUAAAUUGCCCAGUCUCAGGUAUGUCUUUAUCAGCAGCAUGAAAACAGAUUAAUACAAUAUGUUAUAUAUAUAUUAUAUAGUAUGUAUCUAAUAUAGUAUAGUAUACUAAGUAUUAAAUAUUUUAUAAUAAAUAUAAUACUAUAGCAUAUAAACAUGAGUACAAUGAUAUAUGCUCUAACAUAUGUACUAUGUAACAUAAUGGCACAUACACAUAUUAUACCAUGUUUGUAUUUUAUAGUGUACAUAACAUAUACUAUAUAUCAUAUAGUAUUCUAUAGUAUAUAUGAUAUACAUACCAUAUAACACAAACUAUAAUAUAUGUACUAUAUACACUAUAUAUAAUAUAGUAUACUAUGUAAUAUAUGCUAUAUAUACAAGCA
rnacentral:lncRNA from 1 species